UGGGGAAUAUUGCGCAAUGGGCGAAAGCCUGACGCAGCGACGCCGCGUGAGGGAUGAAGGUUUUCGGAUCGUAAACCUCUGUCAGAAGGGAAGAAACCGCACUGUGCUAAUCAGCAGUGCCUUGACGGUACCUUCAAAGGAAGCACCGGCUAACUCCGUGCCAGCAGCCGCGGUAAUACGGAGGGUGCAAGCGUUAAUCGGAAUUACUGGGCGUAAAGCGCACGUAGGCUGCUUUGUAAGUCAGGGGUGAAAUCCCACGGCUCAACCGUGGAACUGCCUUUGAUACUGCUUAGCUUGAAUCCGGGAGAGGGUGGCGGAAUUCCAGGUGUAGGAGUGAAAUCCGUAGAUAUCUGGAGGAACAUCAGUGGCGAAGGCGGCAACCUGGACCGGUAUUGACGCUGAGGUGCGAAAGCGUGGGGAGCAAACAGG
rnacentral:rRNA from 1 species